rnacentral:rRNA from 1 species
AACGAACGCUGGCGGCGUGCUUAACACAUGCAAGUCGAACGGGAUUCAGAGCUUGCUCUGAUGAGAGUGGCGCACGGGUGAGUAACGCGUGGAUAACCUGCCCUGGUAUCCGGAAUAACAUCUCGAAAGGGGUGCUAGUACCGGAUAAGCCCACGGAGCCUUCGGUCUCUGCGGGAAAAGGUGGCCUCUAUUUAUAAGCUACCGUAUCAGGAUGGGUCCGCGUACCAUUAGCUAGUUGGUGGGGUAAUGGCCUACCAAGGCGACGAUGGUUAGCUGGUCUGAGAGGAUGAUCAGCCACACUGGAACUGAGACACGGUCCAGACUCCUACGGGAGGCAGCAGUGGGGAAUUUUGCGCAAUGGGGGAAACCCUGACGCAGCAACGCCGCGUGAGUGAUGAAGGCUUUCGGGUCGUAAAGCUCUGUCAGUAGGGAAGAAAUGGACUUGGCUAAUAUCCAAGUUUCUUGACGGUACCUACAAAGGAAGCACCGGCUAACUCCGUGCCAGCCGCCGCGGUAAAAC